rnacentral:rRNA from 1 species
AUUGAACGCUGGCGGCGUGCCUAACACAUGCAAGUCGAGCGGCAGCGCGGUAGCAAUACUGGCGGCGAGCGGCGGACGGGUGAGCAAUGCUUGGGAAUCUGCCUAUCAGUGGGGGACAACCCGGGGAAACUCGGGCUAAUACCGCAUACGUUCUUCGGAAGAAAGCGGGGGUCGCAAGACCUCGCGCUGAUAGAUGAGCCCAAGUCGGAUUAGCUAGUUGGUGAGGUAAAGGCUCACCAAGGCGACGAUCCGUAGCUGGUCUGAGAGGACGACCAGCCACACCGGAACUGAGACACGGUCCGGACUCCUACGGGAGGCAGCAGUGGGGAAUAUUGGACAAUGGGCGAAAGCCUGAUCCAGCGACGCCGCGUGGGUGAAGAAGGCCUGCGGGUUGUAAAGCCCUUUCGUUGGGGAAGAAAAGUGUCGACCUAAUACGUCGGCACCUUGACGUUACCCAAAGAAGAAGCACCGGCUAACUCUGUGCCAGCAGCCGCGGUAAGGCGUA